rnacentral:rRNA from 1 species
ACGGGUGAGUAGUGUCGGGGGAUCUGCCCGAUAGAGGGGGAUAACCACUGGAAACGGUGGCUAAUACCGCAUAACGUCGCAAGACCAAAGAGGGGGACCUUCGGGCCUCUCACUAUCGGAUGAACCCAGAUGGGAUUAUCUAGUACGCGGGGUAAUGGCCCACCUACGCCACUAUCCCUAUCUGGUCUGAGAGGAUGACCAGCCACACUGGAACUGAGACACGGUCCAGACUCCUACGGGAGGCAGCAGUGGGGAAUAUUGCACAAUGGGCGCAAGCCUGAUGCACCCAUGCCGCGUGUAUGAAGAAGGCCUUCGGGUUGUAAAGUACUUUCAGCGGGGAGGAAGGCGAUGGGGUUAAUAACCGUGUCUAUUGACGUUACCCGCAAAAAAAGCACCGGCUAACUCCGUGCCAGCAGCCGCGGUAAUACAGAGGGUGCAAGCGUUAAUCGGAAUUACUGGGCGUAAAGCGCACGCACGCGGUCUGUUAAGUCAGAUGUGAAAUCCCCGGGCUUAACCUGGGAACUGCAUUUGAAACUGGCACGCUUGAGUCUUGUAGAGGGGGGUAGAAUUCCGUGUGUAGCG